UCGAGAAUCUUUCGCAAUGGGCGAAAGCCUGACGAAGCGACGCUGUGUGGACGAUGAAGGCCUUCGGGUUGUAAAGUCCUUUCGCGAGGGAACAAGAGAAGCUAUCCAACAAAUAGUUGAUUUGAGGGUACCUCGUAAAGAAGCACCGGCUAACUCCGUGCCAGCAGCUGCGGUAAUACGGAGGGUGCAAGCAUUAAUCGGAUUUACUGGGCGUAAAGGGCGCGUAGGCGGGCUAGCAAGUCAACUGUGAAAUUCCGGAGCUCAACUCCGGAGCUGCAGUUGAAACUGCUAGUCUAUAGAGGGAUGGCGGAGAAAAUGGAAUUCCACAUGUAGCGGUGAAAUGCGUAGAUAUGUGGAAGAACACCAGUGGCGAAAGCGGUUUUCUAGCUAUUACCUGACGCUGAGGCGCGAGAGCAUGGGGAGCAAACAGGAUUAGAUACCCCCGUAGUCC
rnacentral:rRNA from 1 species